UGGUUGUAAGAUCAGAAGCACUUGUUCAGCAAAGAACUCUCAUCUAAGGUUGUGUAUUCAUCGUUACUCCACCUGGCGAUUAUCUGAUGCGCUGCCAGUCCAUAUCCAAAUAUCAAAGCAUCGAAGUCAAAGGUCAGCUCCUGUUGACUCUGCAUUAAAGCACUGCUUUAUUCUGCUAAAGUUAAUUUUCUUUCUUCAAAAAGAAUAUGAAAAGUAUGAAAUUCUGUGCUGUAGCUCUUACUUUCCUUUUUAUAGCAACAUUGGCCAUCAUCGAAACUAUAACAGCUUAUCGAUGCCAUGAAGAAGAAAGGGACUGUAUUGCAUUCUGUAUAAGGAACGAUUUUCCCAGCGGUAGAUGUACAGGUCCAACAAGAUCGGAUUGCGAGUGUUGUUUUUUUGACGAUUGCCCUAAAUGAUAUACAGCGAAACUGGUGAUGUGGAGAGAGAGUAUAUUCUCUAAAUUCAGAAGACUGAAUGGAGUGAAAAAAUGCAUGCUUUAAUUAGGAAUUUUUAGAAAUACAUAUAGACUAUCUAUGAAUAACCUCAGUUCAUGAUUAAUCUAGUUAACUCAAAUCAGCAAAGAGAAAUAACCCGUACCGUAAUUAACAGACAAAUGAUUUUAACAAUUUACCUACAUUUUAAGACAGUUUAGUCAGGAAGAAAGUUCCUUUGAUUAUGAAAAUUAAAUACGAAUUCAAAACAAGAACACACUUUAAAAUGGGAAGAACAAUAUUAUAGUUUAUAUAAAUUUUGUUAAAAAUCAAUCGGAAAGAAACAAGCUGAAGCUAUAUAAUUAUUUUAUUUUUGUGAUUCAACAAUUCAUUUUCAAAGUAUUAUUGAAUUAAUAAAAAUAAAUGAAUAUUUGAAAAUGAGUACAUAUAUUCAUUUUCAAAGUAUUUAUAUGUAUUCCAGUUUAUGUGCAAUUAAAUUACGUCUACUGUGAAUAAAAAUAAUUUCUGAAUAUAAUGACAUCAUCUGCUAACACUGCUGUUAUUCAACACAAUUUUGUCUACUUCUUGGAUAUCUAUAGAAAUUUUAUUUUAUUCUGAUGAUCUGCGUUAGUAAUUUUUCCAUCGUUCUGCAAUAAACAAACCUAAUUUCUCUAGUGAUAAGGCCCUGUUAAUCUACAGUCUAAUUAAUGGGGAGUUCACUAUAUUCGAACAAGUUAUGUAUUUCAGAAAAUCAGGAGGACUGUCAUUUUGAUCUGUACUUAAUAAUAAGAUUACAUGAAAUGAAUAAUAAUAAAAGAAAUACAAUAAAA